rnacentral:misc_RNA from 1 species
UACGGAGGGUGCAAGCGUUGUCCGGAUUUAUUGGGUUUAAAGGGUGCGUAGGCGGGAGAUUAAGUCUGAGGUGAAAGACAGUGGCUCAACCAUUGCAGGGCCUUGGAUACUGAUUUUCUAGAGUGCAGUGGAGGCUGGUGGAAUGUAAGGUGUAGCGGUGAAAUGCAUAGAUACCUUACAGAACACCGAUUGGGAAGCCAGCCAGCAAAGCUGACACUGACGCUGGGGCACGAAAGCGUGGGGAGCAAACAGG